CGGAGUCAGAUUAAGCAGAAAAUUUGUUGAAGUUUUGUUCCAUGAAUAGCAUUAACAUUUUUGCAGUUCCUUUCUCGAAGCACGAAAUGUAAGUUCCACUCUCCCCUCACCCCAAACCCUACAAAUAGAAUAAGAAUGACGACGAAACCUUAUUGUAGGCAUAUUAUACCAAAAGGAACUUCAAGUGUACGUAUUCAUUGAAAUCUACCUUAUUGUAGGCAUAUUAUACCAAAAGGAACUUCAAGUGUACGUAUUCAUUUAAAUCUAGUCAGACUCCCUACUCUGUAGAAAUGUAUAUUGUGGCAUUCACUUUAUAUCUUAGAGAGUUCAAUUUGUACGUCAGUUGUAGCUCUGAGAUAGACAUCAACGGUUAUGUUUCUGUAUUGUACAUCACAUUGAUGUAUGUAUCAGUUUGUUAUAAAGGUCUGCCUUUUGGUUUUCAACUUCAAUAUAUGCUUUUAAAAUACUGGCAGUCUCCUUAUGAAGUUGGAAGACUUUAGAUUCAUUCUCUGUUUAAAGAUGUGGUUUUGGAGCACUAUACCUUUCAGAGACCGAUGCAGGCAGCCUACUUAUAACGCGUUCAAUAUGAGUCGAUAUUUUUAAUAUGAAGCAUACAUAAACAUUUGUGCAUCACUUUGAUGUCUCAGCUAAUAAUUUUUGAAGUACAAUUUGUUAGUGUUAAAAAUUGGAAAAAUAAUUCCGAAAAAGUAUUAUGAAACUGCUCGCCUUAUUGAAGUAUCAAAAGUGUACAAAAUAGGCUUAAACCGAAAAGGAAAUUUAAAUGUAUGUUAAGAGUCACCUUAUUUCUGAACCAUCAAACAUCUUACUAGUCAUUAUUUAUGAAUUUGAGCAGGUUUUUAUAACAACAUCAAUAGGUCACCUCCCACCAAAAGGAAAGGAAAACAUGGAAACACAUGCUCUUCAUCAUUUUGAGCAAUUAACAAUGUCAACAUUACUUGCAUCUUCUUUUAUGUCCAUGUAUAUUCAACUUUUCGGUCUUCCAUAAACAUCUAUCUCCUUCCCAUCUCGCCUAACUUGGUGCAAAGAUUUACGGUGAGAGGUGAUAGAUAUUUCUUGGAGUUAAUUAAGGUGUGUGCAAGCUGAUUCAGACACCACAAUUAUCAAGAAAUAGAUAAUAGAUAAACGUCUUACCUCUAUGAGGUUGAAACUUUAAUACUUAAGGUUGAAAUCUACAUCAACACCUUGGAAUGAGAUAGUCUAAUGUGAUUCAAUUUGUGUUAUCUAUUAUUUCCCUUUGCAAUUAUUCCUCGAUAAAUAAAGCAUAUUUGCAAGAUUUAAGAGGUUUCUUAAAUUAUUUUUAUCUAAACCAUUAAAUCUUAAAUCUUAAAGGCACUCAUCCAAAUAUACCCUUGAGAAAAUCAAGAGUAGCCAUACCCUCGGGGUGACCUAGUGGUUUGAGUUUAGAACUUUCAACCGAAUGUCCCUUGAAACUCCUAGGUCGAGCUCGCAGCAACGCACUUGUGCGGUCACCUCUCUAAUUAUCUUUCAUUUAUGAGAGCUGAAAUUAGAAUUAGAAUUAAUUGAACAUUUAAUAAUAUGGAUGUAUUACCAUAUGUAUAUGGAAAAGCACUUCUCGUCCAAUCAAAUGGACAGUGACCCUCUACAAUUAAAACAAUUUAAAAGUAUGUAUUAUGGUACAAAAUCUUUUAGAAAUCUCAACAUCUAAUUAACUAUCGAGAUUUAAAAAAACAAAAAUGAAUUUACGAACUUUCACAUGACUAGACUAUCGUUCUCUUUGACGUUCAUUGAACGAUAGUCGAAAAACCCAUUUGGAAAAUGACUUCUUCUUAUUAGAACACUGCUGCUGAUUUUGAAUAUCAUCCUUGUUAUUAACCCUUGAAUCAACAAAAGCCUUCAAACGUUGUAUGGCGAUAUUUAACGUAUCUUCUGACAUGUUAGCAAAACAUGCACGAAACCAACCCGGUUCUGUACAAUGGCAUGACGAUCCAGCUGAAAUAUUUAGCCCUACUUCGUACACUAUUUUCUUCCAUAAUUCCAUUUCUCCAUCAAAUGUGUUUGAACUUAAAAGAUGUCUCAUAUCCACCCAACAAAACAACCCAGCAUUGCUCUCAAGGCACCUUAUUCCAAUUUGUUUAAGACCACCAACUAGCAUUUCAUGUCGUUUUUUCAGCCUCUUUUGAUUUUCAGACACGUAAUUUUUCGUGAACUUUUUGUCUGAUAGCAAAGCAGAAAGAAGGUAUUGAGUUUGAGAUGAAAUUAAUCCAAAACUAGACAUUUUUGUGGCUGCAGAGACGACCCUAUCGUCGUUGGAAUAAAUGGCACCAACUCGAAAUCCUGGAAGUCCCAAAUCUUUCGAAAGACUAUAGACUAUGUGAACUCUAUCCCAUACAUCAGUGUACAUGUAGUUGUUUUCGAUUAGUACUUCCAUGACACUGACGAAUUUAGGUGAGUUAAAAAAGUGCCAGAAUAUAUCUCAUCACUGAUGAGAUGGAUUUGUUUUGUAGAUACGAAGGUAAGAAGAAGUUGGAGUUCUUUUUUGGUUAAUGUUGUGCCUAAUGGAUUCGAAGGGUUAGUGACUAAAACCCCUUUCACUCUAAGGUUUCGCCUUUCGGCUUCUGUAUAAGCUUCUUCAAGAGCUGAUUCUGUGAUUCUAAAUCCGUUUGAACUUGUGCAUUGUAUUGGAACAAUCUCAGCUCCUGUUCUCCAUUUUAAGUCUCUAUCAAAUCUGCAUUAUUACACAAUAUCAUAAUUAGUAAAGUACAUAGUUCGCCCUGUGUUAAAAUAGACGAUCAAUAAUAAUGUGAGUGUAAACUAAACGUACCCAGGGUAGUAUGGAGUGGGAAGGAGAAAAGCAUGGCCAGGAUCAGCGAGGCAAAACAUGAGUGUCUCAUUUGCAGAAGUAGCACCAGCUGUAAGUACAAGCUUAUUUGAAUCAAAGCUUACUUUGUUUCCUCUGAUUUCAGACAUGAAUUGAACCAAUGCCUGCAUUACAAUGUGAGGUUGUGAAGUUAAUAAUAAAUAUAUGAUAAGUCAGUUACGUUAGUCAGUGUAUAUAAGUCAAAUUCGACUGCAAUCACAAACUUACAUCUUUGAAAGCUGGAAGACCAUGGUAAUCUUGAAAUAAGGAAAGCUCUCUAAAUAUUGAGUGGCCAUUUCUCUUAAAUGCAGAUGCAUCUGGAUUUAGAGUAAGCCAUGACUCUAAUAAAUCGAAAGAGAGCUGAUUCUCUGCGAGACCCAUCUGAAUGAUUCCUUUAGGAUUACGAAUUUCAUCAUAUGGGUUUUUCUGAUACUCUUCCCAUCCUAGAAAGUAGGAAGAAUCUUGUCCAUGUGAGUUACACAUGGCUUUCUUCGAUAAAAGCUUCAUUUGCACUUGAAUUUUUUUAUGUUUGUUUUGAGAGGCAGAAAAUAUUUAGAGAAGAUUGUUGCUAUGUGUUAUAUCAUGGUGAGGUAUAUAUAUAUUAUAAGAGUUUAGGGAUGAAGAAACAAACAUAUCACCAUAUGAUUUUAAACUUUAACUAUACAUUUUUUUGUUUUUUUCUACUUUUUUCUCCAAACAAACAAUUAAUUUAAGUGUGUUUGGGAAGUAUACACUAAGUUGACGCGCUUUUGCGUCGUAUGUUAUAAUUGAAUAUUUUUAUUUCAUGUCAUGUAGGGACUAUUUUGGAUCAAUUUUGUACUGGCUUGUCUAAGGGUGUAACAAAAGGGUGGCAUUAAUGUGACACCCAUCAACAUUUUGUAUUAGGGUAAAACAACAUUUCAAAGGUAGCACUUGUGGAGUCUGAAGCUUGAAAAGGACAAAAAAAAACUGUUAAAUUCUAAAGAGGACAUUAAUUUUUUUUAUAUCAAAGGGUAAAAUUACUCCUGAUGAAGCGAUUUUCUACUCACAAAAUUAAUGUGUUAUUUCUUUUUAAAAAAAUAUAAAAUCACUGUUGUGGCAGCGGUUUAAUCCAAAAAAAAAUUCUUUUCGUUAAAUCACUGCCCCCAAAAAAGUUUUAACAAAAGUUGCAGAGGCAGACCAAAUGUUUCAAAAAUGUCUGCCUCUUAACUUUUCAAUGAAAAAGAAAUCGCUGCCAUAGUAGUCAUUUCAAUUUCAAUUUUUUUUUGAAAAACGCUGCACUCGCGGCGAUAUUAAUAAAAAAAUUAUCAGAGAAGUGAUUUUACCCUUUGUUUUUUAAAAAAAUUAAUAUGUUCUUUUGAAAUUUUUUAACAAUAUUUUUUGUCCUUUUUGACUCCAGACUCAGCACUUGUGCCGUUAUUUUACUAUAAACUUCAACAGACUAGUACUAGUUUAUUUCCUCAUAUGCCUGAAAUGACAUGAGACAAGUAAAAAUAUACUAUUGAAGGUAAAGAAAGUGGAGUUAAGAACAUGGAUAUAAUUGACAAAAAUUUGGAUAUUCUGGAUUGACAAACAUUAUUGUGUAAAUAUAGCAUCAUACCCAAGUUGCUUCUUGAAUGAAGUAGGAGGGGAAAACACAAGUACCCAACUUGUUUACAAAUUGUUUGUGCAGGUGUUUCUCUGUUCCUUUCUCUAUAGAUUUCUUCAUGUGAAACCCAUACCACUUGUUAUUUCUUGCCUUCUCCAAAUCAACUCUAACUCAAUGAAUCCUAUAUUCAGCUUUUUUUGGUAUUUGUUUUGACUUUUUUGUUCACUAGUAAAAAUAGUACAAAUAAAUUAUAAGUAGGCAUAUUAUCCAUGCGUAAUAUGAGAUCGUGAGAGGAAAUCAACGUUUGGACAUGUGAUUUUAUCUCAUGAUCUCAUACCAUGAGAGAAUUUCUAAAUUCUCCAAAAAUCAUGAUUUGAAAAUUUUCAAAAUAUAAAAAUGACUUACCAGUUUAUUAUUUUGUUAAAAAAAACAACCUCAAAUUUAUAUCUACUAACACUAAUUUCAUAUNNNNNNNNNNNNNNNNNNNNNNNNNNNNNNNNNNNNNNNNNNNNNNNNNNNNNNNNNNNNNNNNNNNNNNNNNNNNNNNNNNNNNNNNNNNNNNNNNNNNAAAAAUUGAAAAGUAUAAUUAUUACGUGUCAAUUAUCUAGUGAUCCAAAUAAUAUAAUUAUAUUAAAUUACACCAAAUUUAAUCAACAAAAUGAUGUUUAUCGUAUUUUUGUAUAAAGAAUGUUACGAUAAUUUAUAGUCUAAAUUCAAAUUAUGAUAAAGAAGAAUUAAAUAUAUACGUACAUAAACAAAAAAAAGUUUAAAUCUUGCAAUCUAGGAAUAAUAAUAUCUAAUCAUUCGUAUUUAAAUUGAGAAAUGUUAAUACUUCUUUCGUUUUAAAAAAAAAUCUUAAUAGUCUAUUUAAAAAAGAAUGAUUACUUUUUUUUUGGUAAUAUUUUAAUUUUUUGAAUAAUAUUUUAAUUUUAAUUUUUCACAUGACCUAUUUAAGACCACAAGGUUAUAAGAUAUUUUUAUACAUUUAUAUAAUUUUAAUUUAGAUCCACAAAAUUAAAUAUUUUCUUUAUUUUCUUAAACUAUAUUUAAAAUUAAACUAGAUAACUCUUUUUAAAAGGAAAGAAAUAUUAACGAAAUAAAUAAAAUGUGCUAAAUAAAUAUUCUUGCAUUGGCCCCUCCUGCCAAUUGCCAGACUUGAAAUAUUGUCUCUCGUGUUUUUUUUUUUAUUGUCAUCCUCGCAAUUUUCACCCAAAUCACACGGUCCAAUUGGAUCCCCAAUUUCGGAUUGCGAUGCUUCUUAUAAAUACAAACAAUUUCUACCAUGCUUUCUCCCUCGUUUUCUAAAAGUCCCUUUGAAAGAAAUGAAAAUUUUCUUAUCGGCAAGGUCAUAAUAUUGGAAUGGAAGGAAGCAUGAUGAAAAAAUUGUAUUUGGAUACGGAAAAUUCCUCUUACUAUUAUUAUGUUUUCCUCACUGUUUUUCUGUUUCUUUAUACCUGAAAUUGCUGCACUUGAGCCGAUUGUCUCUUCGAAACAAUCUCUCUGUAUUAGGUAAUGGUAAGGUCUAUGUACACCCUACCCUCGCCAGAUCCCACUUGUGGGAUUUCAUCAUUAUGUUGUUCUUGUUGGAUAUGCAAAAUCCAUGAAAAAAAUCUAAACUUUUAGCUCCCCUCCAAGAGGUCUUUAGAAUAUGAAUUAUUUGCAUGUAUGAUACUAGUUCCUUUACUGGGCACUUUAUCUUAUCAAGAGUUAAUUGGACCAACUUUUAGAAAUAAAUUGUAGAUAAAUUCAUUUUUCCUUUAAUGAAAAUUGAAAUGACCGGAAACCAUAGGGAAAGUACUAUAAGUUGCAAUUCUUCUCGUAUCAAAAUGAAUAAAAGAAGACGAUCUAAUGAUGUGGUCUCAAUUUCACAUAGUUUGAAACUUGGGAAGGGACAUAGGCUAAGCAUUUCGAGAAGAGGGAGUAGACUAUUUUGUUUAAUGCAACAUACAGGUGCUGUUAAUAUUCUUAUCUUGAUGGUAAGUUGUGAUCUGUAAUGGCUUGCCUUGUCAUGGAAAAUUUUGGUUUUUGAUUCCUAACACUUGUGUCCACGAGCAGGAAACAAGAAAAUGUUUGUCUAGUGACUUUUACCAAUUGUCCUGAUCCCCUUUAGCAUCUAAACAUUUGUUUUUUGCCACUGCUGCAGGAAGGGACGAAAUGUUCACGUCAUCGAAAGGGAUUUGACAGAGCCGGACCGGAUUGUUGGCGAAUUGCUUCAGCCUGGGGGUUAUCUUAAAUUGAUUGAGUUGGGCAUUGAAGGUUUGUCUAAAAAAAAGAAAAAAAAAACAAAAUCAAACAAGCAUAAGAGCUUACAAUUGAUCAUUUUGUGAUAGAGCUGGUAGGCACAAGAUAUACUCCCUCCGUUCACUUUAUUUGUCCACCAUACAAAAAACGAAUUUUCACUUUUGCUUGUUACUUUUAGCAUAUCAAUAGAAGUACAUAUUUUUUUCAUGUUUUGUCCUCAACAUGUAUUACUUAUUCUCAAAACAUUUCCCUAGACCUAAGACUAUACAUCUAUUCAUAUGGGUAUUUUGGCAAAAGUUACUCAUAUUAACCAUUGUUUCUAAAGAGCGUGCAAAGACCAAAGUGGACAAUUAAAAGUGAACGGUGGGAGUAUUUUACUAUAGUAUUUGAAAUAAGUUGUAGUUUUAACUUGGGUUGCAUGGACUCUUCACUUUCAAUGCCGCACCCGUGUUGGAUUCUCUAAAAUACGCUACUUUUGGAAAAUGCGACACACCCAUUGAUAUUUUUGAAGAGUCCAAGCUACGUAGUUUUUAACUUGAUUAGGAUAUAGAAUUCACUUUUCGUUGUACUAUUCUAGGUUUGCGUAAUUUUGUGCUCUUGACGUUUGCCAUUGUAAUGCAGAUUGUGUUGAGGAUAUUGAUGCCCAGCGGGUGGUUGGAUAUGCUCUUUUCAAGGAUGGAAAGAGCACAAAUGUUUCCUAUCCCUUGAAAAACUUCCAUUCGGAUGUGGCUGGGAGAAGCUUUCACAAUGGGCGCUUCAUACAGAAGAUGAGAGAAAAAGCAGCUACUCUUCCCAAGUAAGCUUACCCAUGCAGUAUUAUUUAUUAGAACUGUUUUCGACACAUCAUAUUAAUCUUUCCUUAUUAAUAAAAAGAACUGUCUAGACACAUUUCAUGCUUUUAGUAAUUGAUACAAUCAUGUAAUUGUAAUUAUCCUUUUGCUUAUCAUAGUUGCAAAUAAUCAAUUGACUGGUUUUUAUUAAAUUAUGUACAGUGUACGAUUGGAACAAGGCACCGUAACAUCCCUGAUUGAAGAAAAUGGAUCCAUUAAGGGUGUUCAGUACAAAACUAAGGCUGGCCAAGAACUUAAAGCACAUGCUCCUCUUACAGUAGUUUGUGAUGGGUGCUUCUCAAACUUGCGACGCUCGCUUUGUGACCCUAAGGUGAAGUUAAUACCACUAAACAUGUCAGUUGAUUUGUUUCUGUAGUGUCAUAUGCACACAUCAGGUCAAGUAAAACCUUCAUAUGCCUGGUGAUAUAUGUUACCUGCACCGAGUUUGGAAAAUUUAGAUCUUGAAACUUAUUGUAAGUGCGAGUAUUGACAUGUGCAGGUUGAUGUUCCCUCUUGCUUUGUUGGUCUGGUAUUGGAAUUGGAGAAUGAUCGACUUCCAUACCCAAACCAUGGGCAUGUUAUUCUGGCAGAUCCUUCUCCCAUCUUAUUUUAUCCUAUCAGUAGCACGGAAAUUCGCUGCUUGGUCGAUGUACCUGGUCAAAAGCUUCCUUCUCUUGCUAAUGGUGAUAUGGCAAAUUAUUUGAAAACUAUGGUAGCUCCCCAGGUACGUACAGUUUCCCUGCAUGGUACUAUUUUUAUUUUUCUUAACUUUAGAAUAUAGUCAUACACACAGCCAGUAUAAAAAGUCUGUCCUUGUUUUUUCUACCUCACAUACAAUUGCCUGUUCCUAAAGAUAGCUAUUUGGUUCCUCCCAAUGUGCCACCAUGAUGGUAUCUUUACAUUUUUUCAGGUACCACCUGAGCUACGUGAUGCGUUUCUAUCUGCAAUUGAUAAGGGGCAUAUUAAAACUAUGCCAAACAGGAGCAUGCCAGCUGCUCCCUAUCCUACACCUGGAGCUCUGUUGCUAGGCGAUUCUUUCAACAUGCGCCAUCCAUUAACUGGUGGGGGAAUGACUGUUGCGCUUUCAGACAUUGCAGUAUUAAGGAAUCUUCUUAUGCCAUUGCAAGACCUGAAUGACGCAGAUGAGUUGUGUAAAUAUCUGGAGUCAUUUUAUACUUUGCGCAAGGUAAAGCUAAAACUGUUGUCUGGAUAACACUAUCAUCGGUUGAAUGAUUUGCAAUAUGUGUUGUGGCUUAUUUAAAAAAAUAUUUUAUUUCAGCUUUUUGAUCAAGUGUAGGGAGAACCUUCUUUCUAGCAAUUUGACGUGGCAUAUGAUGUCUUUUAUCUCUACAUAAAAAUCAUACGUUAUUCGAAGCAGUUUUAAUGUCUAAAACUGCAUCACUUUUUUUAGUGCUAUUCCCUCUAAAAGAAUACAAACUAACAGAACUGGAUUUCUGACUUUAUUAGCCUGUUACUUAUUCUUGUAUUGGUCUCUGUUUUCAGCCAGUGGCUUCCACCAUAAAUACUUUGGCUGGAGCUCUGUAUAAGGUGUUCUGUGCUUCUCCUGAUCAAGCGAGGAGGGAGAUGCGAGAUGCGUGUUUUGACUAUUUGAGCCUUGGAGGCACUUGUUCAACUGGACCUGUAGCUCUACUCUCUGGUCUUGAUCCUAAUCCAAUGAGCUUGGUGCUCCAUUUCUUUGCAGUGGCCGUUUAUGGAGUUGGUCGUUUACUUGUACCUUUUCCUUCUCCAAAGAAGUUGUGGAUCGGAGCUAAAUUAAUAUUGGUAUGUACCUUAAAUGUAGUAUUCAAACUGUCUUCGUUGACUCUGAGCAUGUGUGUGUUAUAUAUUGAGCUACUUUCCAGUUGAAAUUCCUACAUACUCGUUCACCUUGUUUGAAAGUCUUGACCAUUUUGGCAUGCAUGCUCUUUUUUUUUGUUCAGUCUGCAUCAGGCAUCAUAUUUCCCAUCAUAAAGGCAGAAGGGAUCCGGCAAAUGUUCUUUCCAACAACAAUACCAGCAUAUCACAGAGCUCCUCCCGUGAAGACGGAGUCAGAUUAAGCAGAAAAUUUGUUGAAGUUUUGUUCCAUGAAUAGCAUUAACAUUUUUGCAGUUCCUUUCUCGAAGCACGAAAUGUAAGUUCCACUCUCCCCUCACCCCAAACCCUACAAAUAGAAUAAGAAUGACGACGAAACCUUAUUGUAGGCAUAUUAUACCAAAAGGAACUUCAAGUGUACGUAUUCAUUGAAAUCUACCUUAUUGUAGGCAUAUUAUACCAAAAGGAACUUCAAGUGUACGUAUUCAUUUAAAUCUAGUCAGACUCCCUACUCUGUAGAAAUGUAUAUUGUGGCAUUCACUUUAUAUCUUAGAGAGUUCAAUUUGUACGUCAGUUGUAGCUCUGAGAUAGACAUCAACGGUUAUGUUUCUGUAUUGUACAUCACAUUGAUGUAUGUAUCAGUUUGUUAUAAAG
rnacentral:lncRNA from 1 species